AUUGAACGCUGGCGGCAUGCCUUACACAUGCAAGUCGAACGGCAGCACGGGUGCUUGCACCUGGUGGCGAGUGGCGAACGGGUGAGUAAUACAUCGGAACAUGUCCUGUAGUGGGGGAUAGCCCGGCGAAAGCCGGAUUAAUACCGCAUACGAUCUACGGAUGAAAGCGGGGGACCUUCGGGCCUCGCGCUAUAGGGUUGGCCGAUGGCUGAUUAGCUAGUUGGUGGGGUAAAGGCCUACCAAGGCGACGAUCAGUAGCGGGUCUGAGAGGACGACCAGCCACCUUGGGCCUGGGAACCGGCCCAUUCUCCUACGGGCGGCAGACGGGGGGUAUUUGUGACAGUGGGGGAAAUCUUGUUCCAUAAAAGCCCGGGGGGUGAAGAAGGCCUCCGGGUUGUAAAGGAAUUUUGCCGGGAAAAAAACCCUUGGCCCCAAUUCGGCCGGGGGUGGACGGUACGGAAAAAAUACCCACCGGCAAACUACGU
rnacentral:rRNA from 1 species